CACGUAGGGAGCAAGCGUUGUCCGGAUUUAUUGGGCGUAAAGAGCUCGUAGGUGGUUCGGUAAGUCAGGUGUGAAACCUCCAGGCUCAACCUGGAGACGCCACUUGAUACUGCUGUGACUGGAGUCCGGUAGGGGAGCGUGGAAUUCCUGGUGUAGCGGUGAAAUGCGCAGAUAUCAGGAGGAACACCGAUGGCGAAGGCAGCUCGCUGGGACGGUACUGACGCUGAGACGCGAAAGCGUGGGGAGCAAACAGG
rnacentral:rRNA from 1 species